ACAGUACGUCGAGAGCUUAGCACUGUCGGAGGCACUGCGGGGACCCAUCCCGAGGCGGGGGAGGCUCCCGGGGGGUCCAGGUUGCGGGUUCCCCAGCAGGAGAGAGUGCAGAGUGCACCCGAACAGGCUCGCAAGCCGAGCUGCAGCUGUUUGUGCGAGGCCGGCGGUCGCACGCUCCUCCCCGUCCCUCCUCCCGCCAAGCCGGGGGAGGAGAGGGUCGGACCAUAGGGCCACGCAGAGGGCGGAGGGCGCAGUGACCACAGUGACAACGGAUGGCUAGAGGCUAGUAGUGCUGGAGGCGAGAAGCAAUCGGAUUUGGUGUGUCCUCAGUCCCGUCUGUCUGCCCAGGGAUCCGGGUUUCCGCAAGUGGCACAGCGCAGCGCCAGGUGAGGAGGGGUCCCCAGGGCGGGCGGGAGCCCCA
rnacentral:lncRNA from 1 species